rnacentral:rRNA from 1 species
GGGCCCGCACAAGCGGUGGAGCAUGUGGUUUAAUUCGACGCAACGCGAAGAACCUUACCAGCUCUUGACAUUGCUAAGUCGCGAGUUUUAGAGAUAAAACUCUUCAGUUCGGCUGGACUUAGUACAGGUGCUGCAUGGCUGUCGUCAGCUCGUGUCGUGAGAUGUUGGGUUAAGUCCCGCAACGAGCGCAACCUUGUCCUUAGUUGCCAGCAAUUCGGUUGGGCACUCUAGGGAGACUGCCGGUGAUAAACCGGAGGAAGGCGGGGGAUGACGUCAAGUCCUCAUGGCCCUUACGGGCUGGGCUACACACGUGCUACAAUGGCGUCCACAAUGGGUGCAAUAGGGCAACCUA